CAGGUUCAACAUAGCCUGGGAUCACUUUAUCCUUUUGCAAAGAAUCCCAGACAUUUUGGCAUUGAGACAUUUGUUUCAAUUCAAUUAUUAAAAAGAAAUCGCCUACUUAAGCAGGAGGGGGCACACCUGUUCAGACGUUGGACUCCAAAAACAAUGACUAGGCCCAAAGGGGAAUGACCAGAGGUUCCUGAACUGCAGUUCAGAAGAAGAUCAUCCAGAAGAACCAUGUAAGCCAUGUAGCAAGAGGUGAUUGGCCAAGAGUGGAGCAUCACAUGGGACUGACUAGAGCAGGGAGAAUGUGAAUGGAAAUCAGGACAAAGUGAACUUCUUUCUUGCUGUACAGAAGAAUUCUGAUAAUAGAAUGUGGAUUCAUCUUUACCAUUAAUCAACAUGUGAACCAAAGCCAAGUUCGCAAACUUGAACUGUACCAUCUGCAGAGUAAAUUACCGAGAAGUCAACCACAGCCAGUAACCAUGUCCCUCUCCAUGUCCACCUCCCGGGGAGGUGAGCACCAGGACAGAAGCGGAGGCUGUGUGCUGUGUUUAGGAAAACCUUCCACAGGUUAGUGCUCCAUGAGCAAUUAAAAACUUCUAAGGAUAAAAAAAUAAAAUAAAAACUUCUAAGGCAUUUGAGCUCAUGAGAAGAAAAAAUUUUAUUCAUUAAUUUGUAAAAGUUGUAAAAGUGAUAUAUUCAAAAUGUCAUUGAAUGUCACAAAGUAGCCCAGAAACCCAUAGUUUUUCAAAACAGAAAAUAUGCUUGUGGCCUGCAGGUGGAACAAAAGAAUUUCAUUUUUUUUUUAAAACGAGGUUCUAAAAUUUACCCCCCAAUGGGAAUCAAGCAGAUCAGAGGAGGCAAGCCUUGGAGAACACAUUAUCUAUUUCUCUGACUCCCACUUGAGGAGUAAGCAUUUCAUUAAAGUAAACUUUUUUGUUUUUUCUUUUUUUGCAGUGCUGGGGAUUGAAC